ACACAGCUGCCAAGGGUGACUCUGAGUCUGACCAAUCAUCCAGACCAGAUCUUCAGUGGGGCCUGGUCAGGAUGUGGACGGCUAUUUGCCACUCUUUGCCGCGAUGGUUUUGUCCGAAUCUACGAGCCAAGGAAGAGUUCAACGCCAGUUAUGGAUGGUGGCGAUGGCAGUGGUGGUGGUGGUGGUGGUGGUGGGAGAGGAGGGAGGAUACUGUGGGGCCCCAAGGAUGAACUACUCAUCACCACUGGGUUCAACAGGGUAUCGGAGAGGCAGAUCAGUGUUUACAGCACCAAGAACAUUAGCAAGCCAGUCACCACUAUCGGCAUCGACGUUAGCCCGGCAAUCCUGACACUAUAUUUCGAUCCUGAUUCUGGAGUCCUGCUGACCACUGGAAAGGGUGACUGUACAAUCUAUGCUCAUGAAGUGGGACUGGAUUUCCCGCACCUCUUCCCCUUAACACACCACAAAGCAGCCACUGUUCACCAGGGUCUUGUCAUGCUGCCCAAGACUCUGUGUGACGUUAAGUCGGUUGAGUUUUGCAAGCUGCUGCGGCUGACCUCUUCAACCCUGGAGCCUCUCACCUUCUCAGUCCCCCGUGUCAAGUUUUCAGAUUGCUCAUUUGUUCCUAAUAGGGGGAACGAGCCUGGAAGACACCAUUAGGCGGCUGCUGCGCUAUACCAUAGCUGGCCCGUUAGCUGUGAUGUUUAACUGGUGUGGGAAAGGUGCAAGAGAGCAUUUGGAACUUUGCAUAUAAAGAGCACACUCUAUAAAUGUAUCCGUAGGCAUUACAGGAAUGCUACUACAGCUGUGAUGGAGAAGGUAAUGAGAGAAUGGUUUAGAACAGCUAAAGAUCGGGAAGGAGGACGCCCAAGGCGACAUGAACACCAAUGCACUGAGGACUCUAGGAGUUCACAACAGUAGUAGUAGUGGCGGUAGACAAUCAGUGUUCUUCCCCGAAACCUACCAAUGGUGGUGUUCUGCAGGGCUCUGGGCCGUAUUACAAGUUAAACCCAAGAAGUUUCGGGUCCCUACAAAGGUUGCUUUAAGGGCCGUAUUACAAGUCCAAUCCGAGAAGUUUCGGGUCCCUACAGAAUUAUUCAUCCCGCACUCUGUAGGGAACCGAAACUUCUCUGAUUGGACUUGUAGUACGGUCCCUAAACCGACCUUUGUAGGCACCCAAAACUUGUCGGGUUUGACUUGUAAUACGGCCCAGUGACUAUCAAAUCUCCCACUCUCUUUGUUCACUGAUGAUCUUUUUUCCAAUACAAAAACUGUUCUAUCCAUUUUUAUGUUGAUAACUCUAGUCUGCAUUACUCAACAUCUUCUAAUAGAAGACCUU